rnacentral:rRNA from 1 species
CUGACACAGGGAGGUAGUGACAAUAAAUAACAAUACUGGACUUUUUCAAGCCUAGUAAUUGGAAUGAGAACAAUUUAAAUCCCCUAUCGAGGAUCAACUGAAGGGCAAGUCUGGUGCCAGCAGCCGCGGUAAUUCCAGCUUCAGUAGCGUAUAUUAAAGUUGUUGCAGUUAAAAAGCUCGUAGUCGCAUUUCUGGCGAGAGGAAUUGGUCCGACAUUUAUUGUGGGUACUCGAUUCUCUCUCGCCAUCCUUGAGUGGUCCGUUCUGGCAUUUAGUUGUCGGAGCGUCAGCCGCUCAUCGUUUACUGUGAGAAAAUUAGAGUGU